UGACGGAGCACGCCGCGUGAGUGAUGAAGGUUUUCGGAUCGUAAAGCUCUGUUGUUAGGGAAGAACAAGUGCCGUUCAAAUAGGGCGGCACCUUGACGGUACCUAACCAGAAAGCCACGGCUAACUACGUGCCAGCAGCCGCGGUAAUACGUAGGUGGCAAGCGUUGUCCGGAAUUAUUGGGCGUAAAGGGCUCGCAGGCGGUUUCUUAAGUCUGAUGUGAAAGCCCCCGGCUCAACCGGGGAGGGUCAUUGGAAACUGGGGAACUUGAGUGCAGAAGAGGAGAGUGGAAUUCCACGUGUAGCGGUGAAAUGCGUAGAGAUGUGGAGGAACACCAGUGGCGAAGGCGACUCUCUGGUCUGUAACUGACGCUGAGGAGCGAAAGCGUGGGGAGCGAACAGGAUUAGAUACCCUGGUAGUCCACGCCGUAAACGAUGAGUGCUAAGUGUUAGGGGGUUUCCGCCCCUUAGUGCUGCAGCUAACGCAUUAAGCACUCCGCCCUGGGGAGA
rnacentral:rRNA from 1 species